GCUUCGGUAGUGUAGUUUGGCCAAGCAUGUGAGGCUCUCACCCUUGCGACCCGGGUUCGAAUCCCGGCCGAAGCA
rnacentral:tRNA from 1 species